ACGGGUGAGUAACACGUAAGGAACCUGCCUCAAGGAUUGGGAUAACUCCGAGAAAUCGGAGCUAAUACCGGAUAGUUCAUCGGACCGCAUGGUCCGUUGAUGAAAGGCGCUUCGGCGUCACCUUGAGAUGGCCUUGCGGUGCAUUAGCUAGUUGGUGGGGUAACGGCCUACCAAGGCGACGAUGCAUAGCCGACCUGAGAGGGUGAUCGGCCACACUGGGACUGAGACACGGCCCAGACUCCUACGGGAGGCAGCAGUAGGGAAUCUUCCACAAUGGACGAAAGUCUGAUGGAGCAACGCCGCGUGAGUGAUGAAGGUUUUCGGAUCGUAAAACUCUGUUGUAAGGGAAGAACACGUACGAGAGGGAAUGCUCGUACCUUGACGGUACCUUACGAGAAAGCCACGGCUAACUACGUGCCAGCAGCCGCGGUAAUACGUAGGUGGCAAGCGUUGUCCGGAAUUAUUGGGCGUAAAGCGCGCGCAGGCGGCCUUUUAAGUCUGAUGUGAAAGCCCCCGGCUCAACCGGGGAGGGCCAUUGGAAACUGGAAGGCUUGAGUACAGAAGAGA
rnacentral:rRNA from 1 species